rnacentral:rRNA from 1 species
GGCGGCGUGCUUAACACAUGCAAGUCGAACGAUGAACCGCUUUCGGGCGGGGAUUAGUGGCGAACGGGUGAGUAACACGUGGGCAAUCUGCCCUGCACUCUGGGACAAGCCCUGGAAACGGGGUCUAAUACCGGAUAUGACUGUCCAUCGCAUGGUGGAUGGUGUAAAGCUCCGGCGGUGCAGGAUGAGCCCGCGGCCUAUCAGCUUGUUGGUGAGGUAGUGGCUCACCAAGGCGACGACGGGUAGCCGGCCUGAGAGGGCGACCGGCCACACUGGGACUGACACACGGCCCAGACUCCUACGGGAGGCAGCAGUGGGGAAUAUUGCACAAUGGGCGAAAGCCUGAUGCACCGACGCCGCGUGAGGGAUGACGGCCUUCGGGUUGUAAACCUCUUUCAGCAGGGAAGAAGCGAAAGUGACGGUACCUGCAGAAGAA